rnacentral:rRNA from 1 species
UACGUAGGGGGCUAGCGUUGUCCGGAAUCAUUGGGCGUAAAGCGCGUGUAGGCGGCCCGGUAAGUCCGCUGUGAAAGUCGGGGGCUCAACCCUCGAAUGCCGGUGGAUACUGUCGGGCUAGAGUACGGAAGGGGCGAGUGGAAUUCCUGGUGUAGCGGUGAAAUGCGCAGAUAUCAGGAGGAACACCCAUUGCGAAGGCAGCUCGCUGGGACGUUACUGACGCUGAGACGCGAAAGCGUGGGGAGCAAACAGG